AUUGAACGCUGGCGGCAGGCCUAACACAUGCAAGUCGAGCGGAUGAAGGGAGCUUGCUCCUGGAUUCAGCGGCGGACGGGUGAGUAAUGCCUAGGAAUCUGCCUGGUAGUGGGGGAUAACGUCCGGAAACGGGCGCUAAUACCGCAUACUUCCUGAGGGAGAAAGUGGGGGAUCUUCGGACCUCACGCUCUCAGAUGAGCCUAGGCCGGAUUAGCUAGUUGGUGGGGUAAAGGCCUACCAAGCCGACGAUCCGUAACUGGCCUGAGAGGAUGAUCAGUCACACUGGAACUGAGACACGGUCCAGACUCCUACGGGAGGCAGCAGUGGGGAAUAUUGGACAAUGGGCGAAAGCCUGAUCCAGCCAUGCCGCGUGUGUGAAGAAGGUCUUCGGAUUGUAAAGCACUUUAAGUUGGGAGGAAGGGCAGUAAGUUAAUACCUUGCUGUUUUGACGUUACCAACAGAAUAAGCACCGGCUAACUUCGUG
rnacentral:rRNA from 1 species